rnacentral:rRNA from 1 species
AAAUUCAAAUCAUUUUUAAUGUAUCCGAUUCCAUAAAACCUUUGAAGUUAAGCGUGCUUAUGUGAGAAUAGUAAUAGGAUGGGUGAUCUCCUAAGAAGUCCUUAUAUUGCAUUCC